GCUGGAAUAGCAAAGUGGUUAAUGUGAUAGAUUUAGGAUUUAUUAAUCAAAGGUUCAAAUCCUUUUUCUAGUU
rnacentral:tRNA from 1 species